rnacentral:rRNA from 1 species
GAUGAACGCUGGCUACAGGCUUAACACAUGCAAGUCGAGGGGAAACGACGGGGAAGCUUGCUUCCCCGGGCGUCGACCGGCGCACGGGUGAGUAACGCGUAUCCAACCUGCCUCUGACUGAGGGAUAACCCGUCGAAAGUCGGCCUAAUACCUCAUGGCAUCGUCUGCGGGCAUCCAACGACGAUUAAAGAUUUCAUCGGUCAGGGAUGGGGAUGCGUUUGAUUAGCUUGUUGGCGGGGUAACGGCCCACCAAGGCUACGAUCAGUAGGGGUUCUGAGAGGAAGGUCCCCCACAUUGGAACUGAGACACGGUCCAAACUCCUACGGGAGGCAGCAGUGAGGAAUAUUGGUCAAUGGGCGGGAGCCUGAACCAGCCAAGUAGCGUGCAGGAUGACGGCCCUAUGGGUUGUAAACUGCUUUUAUGCGGGGAUAAAGUGAGGGACGUGUCCUUCAUUGCAGGUACCGCAUGAAUAAGGACCGGCUAAUUCCGUG